CGCGGCCUAUCAGCUUGUUGGUGAGGUAAUGGCUCACCAAGGCUUCGACGGGUAGCCGGCCUGAGAGGGCGACCGGCCACACUGGGACUGAGAUACGGCCCAGACUCCUACGGGAGGCAGCAGUGGGGAAUAUUGCACAAUGGGCGCAAGCCUGAUGCAGCAACGCCGCGUGCGGGAUGACGGCCUUCGGGUUGUAAACCGCUUUCAGUAGGGACGAAGCUAACGUGACGGUACCUACGGAAGAAGGACCGGCUAACUACGUGCCAGCAGCCGCGGUGAUACGUAGGGUCCGAGCGUUGUCCGGAAUUAUUGGGCGUAAAGGGCUUGUAGGCGGUCCGUCGCGUCAGGAGUGAAAACUCGGGGCUUAACCCCGAGCCUGCUUUUGAUACGGGCGGACUAGAGGGAUGCAGGGGAGAACGGAAUUCCUGGUGGAGCGGUGGAAUGCGCAGAUAUCAGGAGGAACACCGGUGGCGAAGGCGGUUCUCUGGGCAUCACCUGACGCUGAGAAGCGAAAGCGUGGGGAGCAAACAGGCUUAGAUACCCUGGUAGUCCACGCCGUAAACGGUGGGCACUAGGUGUGGGGGACAUUCCACGUUCUCCGUGCCGAAGCUAACGCAUUAAGUGCCCCGCCUGGGGAGUACGG
rnacentral:rRNA from 1 species